CCUGACAGUUGUAACUGAUGGACUAGGCUGGGCACUGUUGAUGAACCUCACAUUCCUGAGAGAAAAAUCAUCUAAACUACCUGGUUGCCAUCCUCCAAGAUGACUACCCCUUAGAAGGAUUAUCAUGGGCCUCAGAGAAGAAAGAAAACCAAAAGGCAAUCAACAACAAAUUGAAAAUUGAAGUUAAAUGGCAAGUCUAACAAUUUAGGUCCACAGAAACCUCAGACUACAUUGUCCUGUGAUCACCUAGACUGAGAGGUGUGUCCUUAUGAGGUCAAUGCUUUCAGAGGGGUCCCAGAGAGUGUCCAGUGGGGUCAGAUAAGAAGAGCAAUCUGAUUCAACAGACAUUUAUUGCACUCCUGCUGUACGCCAAGAAAUGCACUGAAAUCUGGCAGGGUGUAACACAGAAGAAGACAAGACUCAUUGCCAAGGAGCCCUUACCUGGGAGGAGAGAUGGAAUUUCAGCCUACGGUGGUGAAAUAUUGGCAUGCUACAAGGAGGGCCAGCAAUAUGACAUCAC